rnacentral:rRNA from 1 species
UCCAGACUCCUACGGGAGGCAGCAGUCGGGAAUAUUGCGCAAUGGAGGAAACUCUGACGCAGUGACGCCGCGUAUAGGAAGAAGGUUUUCGGAUUGUAAACUAUUGUCGUUAGGGAAGAUACAAGACAGUACCUAAGGAGGAAGCCCCGGCUAACUAUGUGCCAGCAGCCGCGGUAAUACAUAGGGGGCAAGCGUUAUCCGGAUUUACUGGGUGUAAAGGGCGUGUAGGCGGGAGCGCAAGUCAGAUGUGAAAACUCAGGGCUCAACCCUGAGCCUGCAUUUGAAACUGUGUUUCUUGAGUGCUGGAGAGGCAAUCGGAAUUCCGUGUGUAGCGGUGAAAUGCGUAGAUAUACGGAGGAACACCAGUGGCGAAGGCGGAUUGCUGGACAGUAACUGACGCUGAGGCGCGAAAGCGUGGGGAGCAAACAGGAUUAGAUACCCCGGUA